rnacentral:rRNA from 1 species
GAUGAACGCUGGCGGCGUGCCUAAUACAUGCAAGUCGAGCGAACAGACGAGGAGCUUGCUCCUCUGACGUUAGCGGCGGACGGGUGAGUAACACGUGGAUAACCUACCUAUAAGACUGGGAUAACUUCGGGAAACCGGAGCUAAUACCGGAUAAUAUAUUGAACCGCAUGGUUCAAUAGUGAAAGACGGUUUUGCUGUCACCUAUAGAUGGAUCCGCGCCGCAUUAGCUAGUUGGUAAGGUAACGGCUUACCAAGGCAACGAUGCGUAGCCGACCUGAGAGGGUGAUCGGACACACUGGAACUGAGACACGGUCCAGACUCCUACGGGAGGCAGCAGUAGGGAAUCUUCCGCAAUGGGCGAAAGCCUGACGGAGCAACGCCGCGUGAGUGAUGAAGGUCUUCGGAUCGUAAAACUCUGUUAUUAGGGAAGAACAAAUGUGUAAGUAACUAUGCACGUCUUGACGGUACCUAAUCAGAAAGCCACGGCUAACUACGUG